rnacentral:rRNA from 1 species
CGAGCGCAACCCUUGUCCUUAGUUACCAGCACGUUAUGUGGGCACUCUAAGGAGACUGCCGGUGACAAACCGGAGGAAGGUGGGGAUGACGUCAAGUCAUCAUGGCCCUUACGGCCUGGGCUACACACGUGCUACAAUGGUCGGUACAAAGGGUUGCCAAGCCGCGAGGUGGAGCUAAUCCCAUAAAACCGAUCGUAGUCCGGAUCGCAGUCUGCAACUCGACUGCGUGAAGUCGGAAUCGCUAGUAAUCGUGAAUCAGAAUGUCACGGUGAAUACGUUCCCGGGCCUU